rnacentral:rRNA from 1 species
GACGAACGCUGGCGGCGUGCCUAAUACAUGCAAGUCGAACGCACUCUCGUUUCUUUUUACUGAGUUUGCUCCUGAUUGCUAAACUUUUGACUGAGUGUCGGCCGGGUUAUUAACACUUGGGUAACCUGCCCUACAGUGGUGCAUCACAUUUGGUUACAGAUGCUAAUACCGCAUAUAACCUAUCACCGCAUCUUGUAUGUUUGUAAGAUGGUUUCUGCUUUCUCUUUAGGAUGUUCCCGGUGUGGAUUAGUUAGUUGGUGGGGUAAAGGCUCACCAAGACAGGGAUGCGUAGACGAACUGAGAGGGUAAUCGGCCACACUGGGACUGAGACACGGACCAGACUCCUACGGGAGGCAGCAGUAGGGAAUAUUACACAAUGGACGAAAGUCUGAUGGAGCAAGGCCGCGUGAGUGAAGAAGGUUUUCGGAUCGUAAAACACUGUAGUUGGGGAAGAAGGUAAGUGAGAGAAAAUGAUGAGGUAGUGACGGUAUCCAAAGAGAAAGCAACGGCUAACUACGUG